rnacentral:lncRNA from 1 species
AUUUCCUUGCAGGGCAAGUGAACAGAGGCAUAGGACACGCGGGAGCUAAAGUCAAAUUAAAAAGACCAGAAGUGGGGACACAGAGUGAAACUCGGCUCGCCGUCCCUAAGCCCCAGAGUGGUGUUCUUGAAGCACCCAGGGCUCGAUCUAAAAAUCAGACCGUGAACUCAGACUCCAGCAUUGCGAUGUGGGCUUCCCACUCGCACAGCACAUGGUCACUGAAACCAUCCCAAGGGAAUUUAAAGCAGCAGGACCCCGGCGUUACUGUUUGGUUGUUGCCUGGAGCCAGUGGAACAUCCGACCCAAGCAUGGAGGCUGCUCAGCGCUUCUGCAUGAAUUAAAUGAGGUAGUACAAUGGGGCAUGUGGACUAGGAAGCCGUCACUGCGUUGGACGUUGGCCUUGCAAUGCAAACACCACCCCAUCCCACUCAGGACACGCCUGGGAAGGCACUCAGCUCAUUGAAAGAGCCCAUCAGUUUUGCUUCUUCUCUGUGACCCAUUCUGGGGAGCUGUGACCAACAGCAUAGCGGUAACUUCAGGCCCGCAAGAAGAGGGUGAAAAGUAGAUACAGUUAGCUCAUCAACUUGGAAAUGCCUUCAACAUGAAACGAAGAGUCAUCCUCAAAUUUUGCAGGAAAGAAGAGCCCCCUUUUGUUUGGACCUCCGAGACGUCUCACUUUCACCAUUCAUUCGGGGCGCUGGGAGGCGGAGGCCUCAGCAUUUCCUAACUUAUUUUUUUAUGAAGCACUCGCCUCACCCAGUAGACUGAGAGUGUGCUCCCCGUUGACCUCGGCUCAGAAAGAAGGGAAGUCCGAUGCUAAGUUCCUCUUCCUCUACCACGGGCUCCACGCACCCCAAGACCCCCCGGGAGGUCCCGAUCCUCCUUCAGAACCAGAGCACAAGGACCGUCUUUCAUGCUCUUUUCUUGGUAGAACCUGACCUGUUGCAGAGCCAAGCACCCCGCCUCUGUCUUGGGCACGCGACAGUCAGCCCUCGGGAACUUAGGUCCAGCCCAGUAAUGGACUUGUUGGCAUCCCCUCAUCUCCCAGUUAUGAAUUCCUUGGGUCCCGUGUGUCUCUACGUUCCAGUUGGUAGCACCGAACGAGUCUGCUGAAUGGAUUUUCCCUUAGUUUGAAUCCCUGCCUGGUUUGGCCAUAAGAAAACAAAUACCAUUCACGGGGUGUGUGACAUAGACGCUGGUGCUCCCCAAUUAUUCCAUGAGAUCCUGCAUAUUUUCCAGCCUUCCUGGCACUUAGCAUGGGGCCAGGUGACGAAUUCAAGUUCACGGGCACAAGGGGGAGUGAAGCAAUGCACAGCAUUUGCCACCCGAGGACACCGAGGAGGUUGAAAGCUGCACGCAUCUGCCGCGGUGGCUGGAAGCGAAGAACACUGAGACGGCGAAGGGGCCACAGAGAGCAUCUCUAAUGCGCACCACUGCUGAAAGGCGGCCACCAGAGAGGACAGGCUGAGCUGUAUCGGACUGCUCCGAAAGUGACAAAUAAGCCUCUGGCUUUGGAGGUUUGCUGCCACAGCAAAACUUAGCUUUACCCUGACCAACCACGGGUGAGUUUCACAAGCUGAAAGUGUAAGGAGGAGACAAGCUUGUGGAAUAUGACAGCAUCACUGGCUAGCAACAUCUUCUGAUAUCCUGGAAUUAGUCGGGAUGGGCCAUGGAUCUGGAUCUGAAACUUUUAAAUCGAAAUGGGGACAAGAGCAUCCCUAUGACGUCAUUGGAGAAUCUGAGGCAUAGAGAAGCGAAGGGAUGGGCUUCUCGGAUUAGGAGUGAGCGAAGCAUGAGAAGAGAGACCUCAAUUUCCCCUGGGCUGUUUCCCACCCUUCCUAGUUGGGAUUUCUCCUCCCCCAGCAUUUGUGCCCUUUGGGUUAGUAUUCUAGGCAUGAGACUGACCUAUUUCGAAGUGGGACAGGUUGGCAUCUCUAAAGCGGGUUCCACAGAAGACUCUGUUUUGAAGCAACAUGGUGGUAAAGAGGUUAACAUUGAAUGGGAGUUUUACUUCCAGGCAGGGAUCUCGAGCCCUGGCGGAAAGACUGCAGCUGCCCUGUGGCCCAGAUAAUGCAACAUCGGGCUGAGCAAGGACAUCUGAGAACAUUCUGUUCUCCUCCCCCGAGACCAAUUAAAAUCUGGAGGCAUCUUUCUUGUUGAUCGAGCUGACUAACUAAUUGAAACGGAAUUGUGAUAUUUUCAUCAGCUUUCUCUUAUCCCUCUUGGCCUUGCCAGCAGAGAGCAAGCUGAAUGAUCAGAGAGUUUCAAGCAUGUGAGGCCCAGGGAACGGAACCCCUCCCACCGUAAACCACUACAUUACCACGGAACAAGGUUCGAAAAAGGAUGAUGCGGGGUUGGGAGUAGGGCGAUACGCUCAAAUCUCAGUCUCAGUUCAUCCAGAUACCAAAGAUACCAUCUUCGGGAUUCCUGAUGAACCAUAACGCUGUCCUUCAGCAGUUGCUGCUCCAAUAAACCAGCUUCUGACCUCUGCCUUCCUAACGAACAUCCCUCUGCCUGACUGGGGAAGCUCCUAGAAACAAAGAACCAAACGCCUCUGAGGCCCAACAAGAUCCCUUUCCUUCCAUUGAGCUAGAAUGUAUUUCCUCGGCACGUGCAAAUGGCCUAGUGGUUAAUCUUAGCAUUGUCCCAAAGGACAUCCAAGCCUCUGGGAAUGGGUUACAUGAUUGAGAUUGCAGGACCUUUUUCUGCUUCAGCAUGAAGACCUGCAUGUUAGCAUUUGUGAGGAGAGCUCAAGAUGGGGGGAAGUCCUCUUGGCUCCUGAUCUAAGGAAGAGCUGCGUUUUGAAGCAUUGGUAGAAUUGCUCACGUGUCCAGUGUGAGGUGGCCUUGGCUGACAAGCUAUCAAAAUAAAUAAAUAACAAGAAAAU